rnacentral:rRNA from 1 species
UUAAGUUAUUAAGGGCGCACGGUGGAUGCCUUGGCACUAGAAGCCGAUGAAGGACGUUACUAACGACGAUAUGCUUUGGGGAGCUGUAAGUAAGCUUUGAUCCAGAGAUUUCCGAAUGGGGAAACCCAGCAUGAGUUAUGUCAUGUUAUCGAUAUGUGAAUACAUAGCAUAUCAGAAGGCACACCCGGAGAACUGAAACAUCUUAGUACCCGGAGGAAGAGAAAGAAAAUUCGAUUCCCUUAGUAGCGGCGAGCGAAACGGGAAGAGCCCAAACCAACAAGCUUGCUUGUUGGGGUUGUAGGACACUCUGUACGGAGUUACAAAGGACGACAUUAGACGAAUCAUCUGGAAAGAUGAAUCAAAGAAGGUAAUAAUCCUGUAGUCGAAAAUGUUGUCUCUCUUGAGUGGAUCCUGAGUACGACGGAGCACGUGAAAUUCCGUCGGAAUCUGGGAGGACCAUCUCCUAAGGCUAAAUACUCUCUAGUGACCGAUAGUGAACCAGUACCGUGAGGGAAAGGUGAAAAGCACCCCGGAAGGGGAGUGAAAUAGAACCUGAAACCGUGUGCUUACAAGUAGUCAGAGCCCGUUAAUGGGUGAUGGCGUGCCUUUUGUAGAAUGAACCGGCGAGUUACGAUUUGAUGCAAGGUUAAGCAGUAAAUGUGGAGCCGUAGCGAAAGCGAGUCUGAAUAGGGCGUUUAGUAUUUGGUCGUAGACCCGAAACCAGGUGAUCUACCCUUGGUCAGGUUGAAGUUCAGGUAACACUGAAUGGAGGACCGAACCGACUUACGUUGAAAAGUGAGCGGAUGAACUGAGGGUAGCGGAGAAAUUCCAAUCGAACCUGGAGAUAGCUGGUUCUCUCCGAAAUAGCUUUAGGGCUAGCCUCAAGUGAUGAUUAUUGGAGGUAGAGCACUGUUUGGACGAGGGGCCCCUCUCGGGUUACCGAAUUCAGACAAACUCCGAAUGCCAAUUAAUUUAACUUGGGAGUCAGAACAUGGGUGAUAAGGUCCGUGUUCGAAAGGGAAACAGCCCAGACCACCAGCUAAGGUCCCAAAAUAUAUGUUAAGUGGAAAAGGAUGUGGCGUUGCCCAGACAACUAGGAUGUUGGCUUAGAAGCAGCCAUCAUUUAAAGAGUGCGUAAUAGCUCACUAGUCGAGUGACACUGCGCCGAAAAUGUACCGGGGCUAAACAUAUUACCGAAGCUGUGGAUUGUCCUUUGGACAAUGGUAGGAGAGCGUUCUAAGGGNGUUGAAGCAUGAUCGUAAGGACAUGUGGAGCGCUUAGAAGUGAGAAUGCCGGUGUGAGUAGCGAAAGACGGGUGAGAAUCCCGUCCACCGAUUGACUAAGGUUUCCAGAGGAAGGCUCGUCCGCUCUGGGUUAGUCGGGUCCUAAGCUGAGGCCGACAGGCGUAGGCGAUGGAUAACAGGUUGAUAUUCCUGUACCACCUAUAAUCGUUUUAAUCGAUGGGGGGACGCAGUAGGAUAGGCGAAGCGUGCGAUUGGAUUGCACGUCUAAGCAGUAAGGCUGAGUAUUAGGCAAAUCCGGUACUCGUUAAGGCUGAGCUGUGAUGGGGAGAAGACAUUGUGUCUUCGAGUCGUUGAUUUCACACUGCCGAGAAAAGCCUCUAGAUAGAAAAUAGGUGCCCGUACCGCAAACCGACACAGGUAGUCAAGAUGAGAAUUCUAAGGUGAGCGAGCGAACUCUCGUUAAGGAACUCGGCAAAAUGACCCCGUAACUUCGGGAGAAGGGGUGCUCUUUAGGGUUAACGCCCAGAAGAGCCGCAGUGAAUAGGCCCAAGCGACUGUUUAUCAAAAACACAGGUCUCUGCUAAACCGUAAGGUGAUGUAUAGGGGCUGACGCCUGCCCGGUGCUGGAAGGUUAAGAGGAGUGGUUAGCUUCUGCGAAGCUACGAAUCGAAGCCCCAGUAAACGGCGGCCGUAACUAUAACGGUCCUAAGGUAGCGAAAUUCCUUGUCGGGUAAGUUCCGACCCGCACGAAAGGCGUAACGAUUUGGGCACUGUCUCAACGAGAGACUCGGUGAAAUCAUAGUACCUGUGAAGAUGCAGGUUACCCGCGACAGGACGGAAAGACCCCGUGGAGCUUUACUGUAGCCUGAUAUUGAAAUUCGGCACAGCUUGUACAGGAUAGGUAGGAGCCUUUGAAACGUGAGCGCUAGCUUACGUGGAGGCGCUGGUGGGAUACUACCCUAGCUGUGUUGGCUUUCUAACCCGCACCACUUAUCGUGGUGGGAGACAGUGUCANGCGGGCAGUUUGACUGGGGCGGUCGCCUCCUAAAAGGUAACGGAGGCGCUCAAAGGUUCCCUCAGAAUGGUUGGAAAUCAUUCAUAGAGUGUAAAGGCAUAAGGGAGCUUGACUGCGAGACCUACAAGUCGAGCAGGGUCGAAAGACGGACUUAGUGAUCCGGUGGUUCCGCAUGGAAGGGCCAUCGCUCAACGGAUAAAAGCUACCCCGGGGAUAACAGGCUUAUCUCCCCCAAGAGUUCACAUCGACGGGGAGGUUUGGCACCUCGAUGUCGGCUCAUCGCAUCCUGGGGCUGUAGUCGGUCCCAAGGGUUGGGCUGUUCGCCCAUUAAAGCGGUACGCGAGCUGGGUUCAGAACGUCGUGAGACAGUUCGGUCCCUAUCCGUCGUGGGCGUAGGAAAUUUGAGAGGAGCUGUCCUUAGUACGAGAGGACCGGGAUGGACAUACCUCUGGUGUACCAGUUGUCGUGCCAACGGCAUAGCUGGGUAGCUAUGUGUGGACGGGAUAAGUGCUGAAAGCAUCUAAGCAUGAAGCCCCCCUCAAGAUGAGAUUUCCCAACUUCGGUUAUAAGAUCCCUCAAAGAUGAUGAGGUUAAUAGGUUCGAGGUGGAAGCAUGGUGACAUGUGGAGCUGACGAAUACUAAUCGAUCGAAGACUUAAUCAA